rnacentral:rRNA from 1 species
AUUGAACGCUGGCGGCAGGCCUAACACAUGCAAGUCGAACGAGUGGCGGACGGGUGAGUAAUGUCUGGGAAACUGCCCGAUGGAGGGGGAUAACUACUGGAAACGGUAGCUAAUACCGCAUACCAUCGGAUGUGCCCAGCUGGGAUUAGCUAGGAGGUGGGGUAACGGCUCCCCUAGGCGACGAUCCCUAGCUGGUCUGAGAGGAUGACCAGCAAAACGGGAACGGAGACACGGGCCAGACUCUUACGGGAGGCAGCAGGGGGGAAUAUGGCACAAUGGGCGAAAGCCUGAUGCAGCCCUGCCGCGGGUAUGAAGAAGGCCUUCGGGUUGUAAAGUACUUUCAGCGAGGAGGCGUUACUCGCAGAAGAAGCACCGGCUAACUCCGUGCCAGCCGCCGCGGUAAUAC